rnacentral:misc_RNA from 1 species
UGUAGGAGCUGGCUUGCCUGCGAUGGCGGUGGGUCAGUUCUUGCAUUUGUCUCUGACCCACCGCCAUCGCAGGCAAGCCAGCUCCCACA